GGGGAUGUAGCUCAUAUAGUAGAGUGCUUACUUUGCAUGCGAUAGGCAUGGGGUUUGAUUCUCCGCAUCUCCA
rnacentral:tRNA from 1 species